CCUACGGGAGGCAGCAGUAAGGAAUAUUGGACAAUGGACGGAAGUCUGAUCCAGCCAUGCCGCGUGAAGGAUGAAGGCGCUCAGCGUUGUAAACUUCUUUUGGAUGGGGACAAACCACUCGACGUGUCGGGUGCUGAGGGUACCAUCAGAAUAAGCACCGGCUAACUCCGUGCCAGCAGCCGCGGUAAUACGGAGGGUGCGAGCGUUAUCCGGAAUCACUGGGUUUAAAGGGUGCGUAGGCGGUUUGAUAAGUCAGUUGUGAAAUUCCUCGGCUUAACCGAGUGGACUGCGAUUGAUACUGUCAGACUUGAAUCAGGUUGAGGUAGGCGGAAUGUGACAUGUAGCGGUGAAAUGCUUAGAUAUGUCAUAGAACACCGAUUGCGAAGGCAGCUUGCUGGGCUUAGAUUGACGCUGAGGCACGAAAGCGUGGGGAGCAAACAGGAUUAGAUACCCUGGUAGUCCACGCCCUAAACGAUGUUUACUUGCUGUUCCUUCUUGUAAGGGAGUGGCGAAGCGAAAGCGAUAAGUAAACCACCUGGGGAGUACGCCGGCAACGGUGAAACGUCAAAUGAAAUUGACGGCNGAGAGAGCGAGACGACGACGAGGGAGAGG
rnacentral:rRNA from 1 species